rnacentral:rRNA from 1 species
GACGAACGCUGGCGGCGUGCCUAAUACAUGCAAGUUGAGCGAUGAAGAUUGGUGCUUGCACCAAUUUGAAGAGCAGCGAACGGGUGAGUAACGCGUGGGGAAUCUGCCUUUGAGCGGGGGACAACAUUUGGAAACGAAUGCUAAUACCGCAUAAUAACUUUAAACAUAAGUUUUAAGUUUGAAAGAUGCAAUUGCAUCACUCAAAGAUGAUCCCGCGUUGUAUUAGCUAGUUGGUGAGGUAAAGGCUCACCAAGGCGAUGAUACAUAGCCGACCUGAGAGGGUGAUCGGCCACAUUGGGACUGAGACACGGCCCAAACUCCUACGGGAGGCAGCAGUAGGGAAUCUUCGGCAAUGGCCGAAAGUCUGACCGAGCAACGCCGCGUGAGUGAAGAAGGUUUUCGGAUCGUAAAACUCUGUUGGUAGAGAAGAACGUUGGUGAGAGUGGAAAGCUCAUCAAGUGACGUUAACUACCCAGAAAGGGACGGCUAACUACGUG